CAAUAGCGUAUAUUUAAGUUGUUGCAGUUAAAAAGCUCGUAGUCGGAUUUUGGCUGAGAACGAUCGGUCCGCCGUUAGGUGUGCACUGAUUGGUCUCAGCUUCCUGGUGAGGAGGUGUGCUUCACGGCCACUUAGUCACCGUGGUUACUUUGAAAAAAUUAGAGUGUUCAAAGCGGGCUUACGCUUGAAUAUAUUAGCAUGGAAUAACACCAUAGGACUCCUGUCCUAUUUCGUUGGUCUCGGGACGGGAGUAAUGAUUAAGAGGAACAGUUGGGGGCAUUCGUAUUUCAUUGUCAGAGGUGAAAUUCUCGGAUUUAUGAAAGACGAACUUCUGCGAAAGCAUUUGCCAAGGAUGUUUUCAUUAA
rnacentral:rRNA from 1 species